rnacentral:misc_RNA from 1 species
GAUGAAGAACGUAGCGGAAUGCGAUACUUGGUGUGAAUUGCAGAAUCCCGUGAACCAUCGAGUCUUUGAACGCAAGUUGCGCCCGAAGCCAUUAGGCCGAGGGCACGCCUGCCUGGGCGUCACACGUCGUUGCCCCCCCAUCUAAUCCUUCGGGAUUGCGGGGGGCGGAUGAUGGCCUCCCGUGCGCCUCGUCGCGCGGUUGGCAUAAAUGCCAAGUCCUCGGCGACGCACGCCACGACAAUCGGUGGUUGCGAAACCUCGGUUGCCCGUCGUGUGCGGUCGUCGCGCAUCGAGGGCUCGAAAAAAUUGCCGGGCUCCGGCUCGACUUUCAACGCGACCCCAGGUCAGGCGGGGUUACCCGCUGAAUUUAAGCAUAUCAAUAAGCGGAGGA